UUGAGACUUUUCAAAAAUGUAUAUAUGCAAGACUCUGGGAGUUUUGUAGAAAUAUAACUGCAUGCUAGAACAAUUGAAAAGUUUAUAUCAUGAUUAACUUUAGGAUUUACACUUAACAGUAGUCCUCGACUGCUGGAACAAUUUGACAAUAGGUAUGGAUGUGUGAUAUGAUAUCCCUAAUCUCACUGAUAUCCCUGUCUAAACCCAGGUUGGAGGAAUUUUCCAGGUUUCACAUUUCGAACCACCGAGAUAGACACUUUAGUUAUGCAGCAGGAAAUUAGUUGAAAGUUUGAAACCAACCAGCAUCAAAACCCGUCUUAGUACGCCAAACUCAAAUCUUGGUUCAUUUAGAAUAGAAUGGAAUUUAGUGCAGGGUUGAUAACUUGAUAUCAUAAUUAACUCUAGGUUAUACACCUCACAUUAAGAACAGCAGCUCAAUUUCUAGGGACCAUCUGCAGAGAACAUCUAAUUGAAGUGGUGGUGAUCAAGUGAAAGAACCUCAUCUUAGCAUCACUAGUAGUUAACUAGCACACUAUAGGUCUUUCCAUCCAAUGCUGUUCUUGAGACCAAGAGUAUUCAUGUUUUGGUGAUCAAGAGAAUCUAUGUUCUGAAUCUUAUUCAGCUUCGAUAUUUAACAGCUCACUUGUUCUUCAAAGCUAACAAAGUAUCAUUGGACUGUGAAAUGCAAGUACAAGGAAACAUUGGUACUCGCACAUGUGGGUGCAAUGCAGGCCUUAUUGUAUUAGGUAACUGACCAAUAGUAAUAGAGCUUCUGGGUAAGCUUAACUUUAUACCGAAUUAUCAUUACUUCAUUAGUGAUGGGCUCGUCUGUUGGAUCCAAAUUAUUUUUCAAAUCGUAUUAUUGUAGUUGUUUUAGUAAGUAACUUCAUAUACAAUGAAGAGAUAUCGAUCUCUUGUCUGAAAUCAAGAAAGGCACCAGGUGAAAUGGCGCUUCAGGUACCUUGGCAUUGAGUUUUGAUGACUUGCCAUCCCAUUUAAAUCUAGGCUUUCUAUAUUUACCCAAUUUCCUAAAGAUUAUGAUGUACCGGUGAAAUGGUUGACUCAAUUGUGGACUGCAGAAGAGAUGAAAUGCAUGGUUCAGUGGAGACAAUGGAAGAUGUAUCGUAUAAUCUCCUAAUCAAGUGAAUUGGUGGAGGUGCAUCGUUCAAGUUGUAAAACCUGGUUUAAAUGGGAAGGUUAAAGCUUGCCGGCUCCAUGAUCUUAUGCGAGACUUGUCCUUGGUAGAACAGGUAGGGUCAGAAGGCUUGCCAUCUAUUUGAAGAAGCUACUGGUUCAAGCUUCAAAUGUGAAAAUUGGAGUUUUGUUGCUGCUGUGAUCAUCUUCAGAGUGACAAAUUAUAACUUCAAUUUUGAAUUCAAAUUGCAAGUUAAUCCUUAUCUUCAGCCAACCAUUUGGGUUCCUAGCUGCCUAUAAAAAGGCUCGACUUCAAGAGCAAAGGGGGCAGCGGAGCAGAGCAGAAAAGGCUAGAGAGCGGUAGCAGAAAAGACUGGAGAGAAGACACACAUGAAAUACAUCAAGAAAGAGGCAAAGCCUUGCUGCAGAGGAGAGAGGAAGUGUUCAGCAAUUUUGAUCGAAGCAAGGAGCCAACAAGCAAACAACACAAAGGUUGGGGCCUCUCUGAUCCACCCGUGCUACUUUCUUUUUCUGUGCAGCAUCUCUUUUACCUGUGUCACCAUGGAGCUGUGGAGGUCCUCGGAGCUGUCGCAAUCCCGUUUACAAUACAUGUGUAUCAAUGGGUGUAUGACCAAUCCAGUGGAAUUUUUUAAGCCUUGUUGAGUACCAACAAGUGCUUUGCAGCAGAAAACAGUGCCAUCAUACAAGGCCAAUGCCCAUUUGCCUCCACAAGAGCUGUUUUGCAGAAGCAACAACGGUCACCACCAAAAGUCUUCCACCUCCUGUCUUCCUUUCCACCGCAACACAACAAAUGGCCUUGCACCACUUGCAAACAAGCCACACAAGGAAUUGACCAAGCGAGACAAACCAAAAUCAUCAAGAUUGGUGUCUGGAGAGGAAAGCUCACCCUUGAUGUUCUCUUGGAGUAUUUCCAACAACCUGCGAGCAAGGAGGAAAGAAAUCAUAAACCUGAGACCAAGCUGUGAAGCAGAAGUCUUUCACUUCUAUUGAGAAAUUUGGACUCACUUUGUCCAUCAAAUCCCAGCGGUGAAAUCACGCUGUCAAAGUUCUUGCCUCCACUGGUACCUGCAGCACAUACAAAGGCUCUGUCAAACAGGGGAUUGCAAAGAAUGGUUGAAAGAACGACCGAUCAUGGACAAUUGAUUAUUGUUCUGGGUCUAAAAAAGAAGAAGAAUAUGGCAUUCAUGUAAAUGACAAAGUCGAAAGCUUUAAACUCUUCAAAACCAUAAUUUUCAGAGUGCGUUGUGCUACAACUCUGAAUAAAAGCUAAACAACGAGGCUAUCUCCAGGUACUUUGAGGAACCACAAAAUAUAUAUAAUGAAGCUAAGCAAGAAAGGUUGAUUUGUUAAAGCAUGCUGCAAGUUCACAUGGCAUGCAAGUCAAACAACAAAAGACCAAUUAAGAUGCCUAGCUACGUGGUCUUUUCUCAACCAAAAGAAAACAAAAUCAAGGCAUAAUGCAAAGGCUAGCUACUAGUAUACCUUAAUUACAUCAUGGUGGGCAAUCUUUUUAAGGAAAAGAAAAAAAAAAGA